UACGUAGGGUGCGAGCGUAAUCGGAAUUACUGGGCGUAAAGCGUGCGCAGGCGGUGAUGUAAGACAGGUGUGAAAUCCCCGGGCUUAACCUGGGAACUGCAUUUGUGACUGCAUCGCUGGAGUGCGGCAGAGGGGGAUGGAAUUCCGCGUGUAGCAGUGAAAUGCGUAGAUAUGCGGAGGAACACCGAUGGCGAAGGCAAUCCCCUGGGCCUGCACUGACGCUCAUGCACGAAAGCGUGGGGAGCAAACAGG
rnacentral:rRNA from 1 species